UGACCUACGGGGGGCAGCAGUGAGGAAUAUUGGUCAAUGGCCGAGAGGCUGAACCAGCCAAGUCGCGUGAGGGAAGACGGCCCUACGGGUUGUAAACCUCUUUUGUCGGGGAGCAAAGCGAGUCACGUGUGACUCAUUGAGAGUACCCGAAGAAAAAGCAUCGGCUAACUCCGUGCCAGCAGCCGCGGUAAUACGGAGGAUCCGAGCGUUAUCCGGAUUUAUUGGGUUUAAAGGGAGCGUAGAUGGGUUGUUAAGUCAGUUGUGAAAGUUUGCGGCUCAACCG
rnacentral:rRNA from 1 species